rnacentral:rRNA from 1 species
UACGUAGGGUGCAAGCGUUAAUCGGAAUUACUGGGCUAAAGGGCGCGUAGGCGGUGAGAUGAGUGUGGUGUGAAAGCCCCGGGCUUAACCUGGGAAGCGCAUCGCAAACGAUCUGACUGGAGUACAAGAGAGGGUGGCGGAAUUUCCGGUGUAGCGGUGAAAUGCGUAGAGAUCGGAAGGAACGUCAAUGGCGAAGGCAGCCACCUGGCUUGAUACUGACGCUGAGGCGCGAAAGCGUGGGGAGCGAACAGG